GGAGAGUUGUCUGAGUGGUCUAAGGUGCUACCUUGGAAAGGUAGUGUACAGCAAUGUACCGGGGGUUCGAAUCCCCCACUCUCCG
rnacentral:tRNA from 1 species